UUUAUAAUUACUUAAAAUAUUAUAUUAAUGACAAAAUCCUGAAUAAAAAAGACUGUAAUUACUAAAAGUUAUAAGUAGAAUGGUUAGAAAUUUAGGAACUCAAAAUGUACCAAGGAAAAUUAUCAACAGUAAAAUAAUAUUAUCACUAUAAAAAUUAAGCAAAAAAAAUUAUUUCAUUCUACACAAGAUUUGCCUUUCUUAGUAUUGCAGUAUCACAGUCAUUUCAACCUGAUUUUCAUUGACUUUACAUUGCAGUGUUUGGCUAAAUAAUCUCUAAAAAUAUCCUCAGUCCUUAGAUAAAAAGUAAUUCCACACUUCUAAGAAAAGCAGUUGCAUGCAUCAAUCUUCUUAUAAAAGGAAGCAUUUAAAACUGUACAGUAAAUAUCAAUGUUCUCUAAAGAAUUCACACUUUUCAUACACUUAAAAAUCAUGUAAGCAUCCUUAAUCGCCAUAGUUAGGAUCAGUCAGUAAUCUGCCACUGCACUAGUUAUAAAGAUUGAAAAACACUGUGCAACCUUCUGUGUGUGUGUGAGAUACUGUUCCAUUUGGAAAUGUAUAAUGAGGAUCCUGGAUUGUUAAUUUGGUAGAACCACGUGGUUCUCUUUUCUCCAUACAGCAUUACAACAGAAGUAAGAAACUUCAUAUAAAUACUGUUAAAGAAUCAGUGGCAUAAAGUUAAUUUUUAUUUUAGUAAUUGGUUUUUCACGAUUAAAAAAUUAGUUAAUAUAGCAUAUAAGAUUGGACGCAUAAUCUCAAAUUUCAUCUGAUGUUCUCUCUUUUCUUCACACAUGGGCUAAGCAGAACUACUGAUAAUAUUACACAUAAACUAAAAGAAAUGGAAUCAUUAAGACAGUAUCUUCAAAUAUUUUUCUUUUGAUAUAGGACAAGCUGUUCCUCAAAAGAUAAAGGAGCUUAAUGGUCGUAGUUGCAAAAUAUCUGGCAAAGCUUAGAAAACUACUGUCCACAUAUUGUUUGAUAGAGCUCACUUUGGAACAAGAUAAAAAUAAGAAAAGACAUAGAUAUUCAAAGGUGUCUAAACCCAUCUGAUCCCCUAUUUUGUUCUCAGAACACAAGGAAACAAGUGAAGAAACCAAACGGCUGGGUUUUUUUCCACAUGACCAUGCAUUUUAUUGGUGGUCAAAUGACACAUUUAGAAAAAAAUUUUUUUUCCCUCUCAGGCAUAUUUUUGGGGGAAAAAGGAAAGUUCUAUAAAAAACAACAGAAAAACAAGCUUUAAAGAAAUUACAUCUAUAGCUUAACACAGACUGAUACUAAAUGUCAGGCUUUCCAAAUAGUGGUAAUUUAAACUGGUAAAAACUCAAUAUUCAAAAAAGGAUGGGGGGAGAGGGAGAGUGAGAUAAUUAUGUAACUCAAAUUCUACUUUGGUGUGUGUGUAUUGGUCUCCGGCUUAUAGUUAAUACCUAGAGAUCUUUAAAAAAAAUUAAAACUUGGAGAAAAGUUUAAAGAACAGAGAACUCUCAAAUACUUUACUCAUAUUCAUCAACUUUUAAACAUUUUUGCCAAUUUUGCUUUCCCUCGCCCAACCCAACAUUAUUAUGUAUCUUUGUUUUAGCCAUUUGAGAGUAGGUUCACACCUCAUCAUGCUUUGCCUCUUAACUUCAAUAUGACUUUUUAAGAAUAAAGAUAUUCUUACACAAACAGUAAUCAAACUCUGGAAAAUUUAAUACUGAUAAAGUACUUUCAUCAGCCAUAUUCCAAUUCUGUCAAUUACCUUAACAAUGUAUUUCUCUCCAUCUAGUACACAAUCUGUCUCAAGGCCACAGAUUUUGUUUGGUCUCUUGAGAUUCCUUUAAUCUCGAGGCAUUCCAGAGUUUGCCUUUCUUUCAUAACACUGAUAUUUUUUGAAGAACAGAGGCCACUUAUUUUAUAAAAUGUUCUGCAAUUUGGGUUUGUCUGAUGUUCUUCAUUAUUAGAUUUAUACAUUCCUUGCUAGGCUACUAUGACAUUAGCAAAGAUGUGCCCUUCUAAGGGUAGCAUAGUCACAGGCCAUGAUGUACCUAACUUUCUCUUUGGUGAUAUUAGCUUUAAUUAUCUGGUCAAGGUAUUGUCCAGUCUCUCUACCAUAUAGUUAUUAUUUUUACUCUCGCGGCUAAUAAGCAAUCUGUAAGGAGAUACUUGGAGACCAUGCAAAAAUCCUGAGCCUUACCAAAUCUUCCACCCUUGAUUUUAACAUCCACUUACAGAUUCCUGCCUAAAUCAAAUUUUAAUGUUUGCUUUCUGAACCAACUUGAAAAUCUUUUUAAUAGGCAAUUUAAGCCCACUCAUAUUUGAUAUGACUGGUAUGCUUGGUCCUAUCUCAGUCACUACUGUGUAAUUACUGUGUGUGUUAGGUAAUAUUUAUUGUGUUCCUUUGUUAUUUUUUACAUUUUCUUUUGGUAUUUAGCAAGGUUUGUAAUUUUAUUCUACAGUUACUUUUGCAUUUAUAGUUUUGUUAGUGUCCUUGGACCUCUUUUUUUCCCACCCACCCCCACCCUGUUUACUCUUUCUUAAGCUUUCAGUGUCUGCCAGUUUUAAAUGGUCUCCUUUAUUCCCCACCCACACAACAGUCUGUGAUCUUAUUCUGCUCUCCCUUUCUCUCCCCCUUCUAAAAAGUGGUAUUAUUUGUACUUUGUCUAACAUGUAACAUUACAUACUACUCUGCUGUUCCCGUGUUCCCACCCUUGUAUUUAGGCCUUAAUUUAAUAUAGUAAGUGCUCACAGUUCUUUUGCCGAAGCUGCCCGUGAUCUCUUGGUUGGGUUAAGCUCAUCCUCUAAUGAACUCCUCAAUGGCUCAUGGAUAUAAUACCCAAUGAGUUCCUGAAUAUUCAAACUUGUCUUUUUAUAGCUGUCAUAAUUAAGAAACACUUGCCUGGCUAUCAAAUCCUUGGCUGGUACUUUCUUGAAUUUCUGGAAAUUGCUACUCUGUUGGCAGGAUUUGCAUGUUGUUCUUCUGAAAUAUGAUGCCAACCCAAUUCAUCUUUUUUUUCAGAUGAGGUCUUGCUCUGUCAUCCAGGCUGGAAUGCAGUGGUGUGCUGGCUCACUGCAGCUUUGAAAUCCCUGGCUCAAGCAAUUCUCUUACCUCAGCCUCCUGAAUAGUUAGGACCACAGGCACAUUCCACCACAACUGAUAACUGAUUUUUUAUUUUUUUGUAGAGACAUGGUCUCAAUAUGUUGCCCAAACUGGUCUCAAACUCCUGGGUUCAAGGGAUCCUCCUGCCUCAGCCUCUCAAAAUGCUGGAAUUACAGGCAUGAGCCACUGUGACUGGCCUCAAUUCAUCUUUAAUAGUUUACUAAAAUACAUCUCAGAGUUUAUCAUUCCAGGUCCUUCAAAAGGUAGACUUGACAUUUCCCUUAUUCCCAGAAACUUUCUCUGAAUUACAGUUUAUCUAUUAGUUCUGGUCCACUGUUUUAUUUUUCUUCUUCACAGACUCCAAUUAUGUUGGACACCCUUUGCUGGUCUUCUCUUUCAAUUUUUUUUUUCUGAGAUCCUUUUUACUUUUACAAAAAUCUCAUUUCCAUUCAAUGUCCUUCAUUAGAUCUUCUUUCUAUUUUCUCUUGAGCAUUUUUUAAUUUAUUCUUCACUUCUAAGAUAUUUUUGUCUUUUUCUUCUGUUUCUUUCCUGAAUUUGAUGAAUUCCCACUUCAUUUCUUACAGCAUUGUUUUUGUUUUUUAAAUCUAUUUCUUUGCUUAAGUUUUUGGAUACCAGGUUUUGUUCUGCUCAUUUGAGAAUAUUUAAUUCAGUCAGAGUACCAUGUUGAUAAUUCCAGAGUGACAACAGUUUCAUAUUCUAGAUCUUACUGCUCCCCAUAUAUUAUGCAAAAUGUAAUUCUGCACAUCUUUUUAUUUACUUAUUUGAGACAGGAUCUCACCACGUUGCCCAGGCUGGUCUCAAACUCCUAAGCUCAGGCAAUCCUCUGCCUUGACCUCCCGAAGUGCUAGGAUUACAGGCGUGAGCCACCAUGCCCAGCCUGCACAUCCUUUUACACUAUAAUUUUCAGAAUUCAGGAUAGAAUAUAAAGAAUUCUUACAUCCUUAGUUCUCCAAUCAAAAACAAUACGGGUUAUUCCAAUUUUAGAGCUAAUGCAAAUAAUCCAGGCACAGUGCAAUCAAAAGGUAUAUGCAAGGAAUGGUAUUGCCUAUAAAUCCUUUUUUUAACCAUUUAUGUGUACAUAUGAAUUAUUCAUCAAUUAAAAUCUACUUAAUUUUGAAUAGAGAAAUGAGUGUUAAAACACCAUACUUCAAUUUUUACAUGAACAAAAAAAGAAAGUAGAUCCACCACUGAGAAUUAUUUCCUGAUUUUGAUGUACUAAGCAAUUUUGGUACUACUGAUAUACAGGAACAUGAUGUUUUCCUUAAAAAUAUAUUCAACUGUCUUUCCCGAAUAUAUACUUUAACAUUACUACUUUUUAACUAGGAAAAGGCCUAUAUACUUUUACCUAAGCUGUCUACUUUUUUUUUCAUUGAAACUUUUGAGAUAAUUGUAAAUUCAUAUGCAAUCGUAAGAAAUAACAUACAGAGACCUCUUGUACACUUCCCCCAGUUUACUGGAAACAUUUUGCAAAACUAUGGCAUAUCAUAACCAUGAUAUUGGCAUUCAUACACCUAUCUAAUUCAGAUUUUCCCAGCUUUAGUGCACUCAUUUGCCUGUGUAUAUGUGUCUAUUAAGUUCCAUACAAUUCUAUCACCUGUAGAGGUUCAUAUAUUCAACACCCGUCAAAAGACUGAACAGUUCCUAUGCAAGGAUAACUUGUGCCACCCUCUUAUAGCCACAACCACCUGCUUCUCCUCUCCCUGCUCCCACCAAAUCCGUAAGACCUGGUAAUGGUUAAUCUGUCCCACAGUUCUAAAAGGUUGUCAUAUCAAAAGUAUUACAUAAAUGGAAUCAUAAAGUAUGUAAUAACCUUUUGAGAUUGGCUUUUUUCACUCGGAAUAAUUCCCUGGAUAUUCUUUCAAGUUUUUGUGUUUAUUAAUAGUUUGUUCCUUUUUAUUGCUAAGUACUAUUUCAUGGUUUGUAUGAACCACAGUUUGUUAAACCAUUCACUUACUGAAGCAGAUAUGGGCUGAUUCCAGUUUUGAAUAUUAAAAACAAAGAUGGAAUAAAUAUUUGUGCACAGGUUUUCAUGUAAACAUAAAUUUCAAUUUUUCUGGGAUAAAUGACCAAUAGUUCAAUUGCUAGAGUUUAUGGUAACUGCACGUGUCAUUUUAUAAGAAACUACCCAUAACAUUUCACAUUCCCACCAGCAGUGUAUGUGUGAUACAGUUUCUCCACAUAGUCACCAGAUUUCCAUGCUGUCAUUAUUUGUAGCCAUCUGGCAGGUAAAGAAUAAUAUAUUCAUUAUGGUUUGAAUUUGCAUUUCCCUAAUAGCCAGCAAUGUUGAGUAUCUUUUCUGUAUUUGACAUUUGUAUAUCCUCUUUAAUGAAAUGUUAUGUCUUUUGCCAAUUGUCUAGAUGAAUUUUUCUAAACUGAUGUCUUGAGAGUACUUUAUAUAUUCUAGAUAUGAGUCCUUUGUCAGAUAGACAGCUUGCAAAUAUGUCUGGAGAUUCUCUUUAUCAUAUGGGCUUUCAGAGAGUAAAUAUUUUUAAUUUUAAUGUUUGCUAAUUGUCCCUUUUGUAGACUGUACUUUUGGUAGCAAAUCUAAAAACUCUUUGCUUAGCCCAGAUCUGGAAGACUUUCUCCUAUGUUUUUUCUAAAAGUUACAUAGUCUUACAUUUUACAUUUAAGUUUAUGACCCAUUUUGAGUUAAUUUUUGUAUAAAGUCAUUUAAGUCAAGGUUCAUUUUUGUGAUAUGGAUGUCCAGUUGUUCCAUCACCAUUUGUUGGAAACACCAUUUUUCCUCCAUUGACUUGCUUUUGUGUCUCAGUCAAUAAUUAGGCAUAUUUGUGUGGAUCUAUUUCUGGGUUUUCUAUUCUACUCCACGGAUCUAUUUGCCUACCCCUCUACCAAUAUCACAUAGUCUUGAUUACUAUAGCCAUAUAAUAAGUCUUUUUGGCUAAGUAGUAUUCCAUUCCAAAUCAUGUAGACUGGUAACUUCCACUUUAUUUUUAUUUUUGAAAACUCUUAGCUAUUCUAGUUUCUUAGGCUUCCAUAUACAUUUUGGAAUAAGCUUGUAUAUGUCCUCAAAAAAUCUUGCUGGACUUUGACAGGAACUGCAUUAAGACUAUGUAAUUAUCUUUACUAUAUUGAAUCUUCCAAUUAAUAAGUACAGUAUGUUUCUCCAUUUAUUCUUUUCAAAGUUUUUUUGACACAUAAUACUGUAAAUAUUUAUGAAGUACAUGUGAUACUUGAUACAUGCAUAGAAUCAAGUCAAGCUAUUUAGGAUAUCCAUCACCUUGAACAUUUACCAUUUCUUUGUAUUGGGAACAUUUAAAAUCUUCUAUUCUAGCUAUUUUGAAAUACACAAUAUAUUGUUAACUAUAGUCACUCUAAUCUGCUCUCAAACACUAGAACUUACUGAUUCUAUCUAACUGUAUGUUUGUACCUAUUAACCAACCUGUCUUUAUCCCCGCCUCUCUCAAACACACUGUUCCCAGCCUCUGGUAACUACCAUUCUACUCUCUACCUUCAUGAGAUCAGCUUUAUUUUUAGUUCCCACAUGUAAAUGAGAACAUGUAAUAUCUGUCUUUCUGGUCCUAGCUUAUUUAACAUAAUCUUUUCAAAGUUUUGUAGUUUUGAACACAUAGGUCCAGUACAUUUUUUGUUGGAUUUCCAUCUUUUUUCUUUUUGCAAAAUUAUAAAUGGUAUUGUAUUUUAAACUUCACUUUCUACAUGUUCAUUGUUAGUAUCUUGAAAUACAAUUUAUUUUUUAUGUUAUUUUUAUCCUGCUACCUUGCUAAACUCACGUAUUAGUUCAGGUGUUGUUUUUUUUUUUUUUUUUUUGUACAAGGGAUUUUCUACAUAGAUAAUCAUAUCACCUAAAAAUACAGACAAUUUUAUUUCUUCCUUUAGUAGUGCUUUUCAUUUCCUCUUCUUACCUUACUGUGUUGGCUAGGACUUCUAGGACUAUGCUGAAAAGGAGUGGUAGGAGCAGACAUCCUUGCCUAGACAAGCGUGCCAUUCCCUAGGAAGAAAGCAGUCUCUCACAAUGAAGUAUGAUGUUAGCUAUAGAUAUUUUAGAUACGUUUUUUAAUCAAGUUGAGGAAAUUUCCCUCUAUUCCUAGUAAUCUGAGUUAUUAUAAGUGAAUUUUGAAUUUUAUUAAGCACCUUUUCUAAAUCGAUAUGAUCAUAUGAAUUUUCUUUUUUGGCUCGUUAAUAUGGAAGAUUAUACUCAUUGAUUUUUAAAAUACUGACCAGUCUUGAAUCCCGGAAAUCAAUCCUAGUCACAAUAUAUAAUUCUUUUUAUAAAUUGCUUAAUUCCAUUUGCUAAUAUUUUGGAAAGAAUUUUACCAACUACACAUAUAAGGGAUACUGUUUUUUUUAAGAACUGUCUUGGUUUAAUAUCAGGUAAGAAUAGUGUCACAGGACUAUGGGUUUCCUCCUCUUCCUUUCUUUUUUUUUGAAAAGAAAUUGUACAGACCUGGUGUUCACUGUUCUUCGAAUGUUUGAUACAAGUAUCCAGUGAAACAAUCAAGAUUUGGAGAUUUCCUUUCAAGAGGUUUUAAAUUAUAAAUGUAAUUACCUUAACAGUUACAGGACUAUUCAAAUUAUCUAAUUCCUAUUGAGUUCUUUUCAAAGAAUUGGUUCGUUUUAUCUAAGUUGUCAAAUUUAUAUGUGCAGAGUUGUUUGUUGUGAUCCCUUUGAUAUCUGCAAGAUCUAUAGUUAUAUCCUUUUCAUUCCUGAUACUGGAAAUUUUUGCCUUCCCUUUUUCUCUGUCAGUCUUGCUAUUUGUCAAUUUUAUUGUCUUUUCAAAGAGCCAGCCCUUUGUUUUGUUGACUUCCUCUACUGUUUUCUCAUGUUCAAUGUUACUGAUUUCUCGGCUUUUCUUUAUUAUGUCCUUCCUUCCGCUUGCUUUGGGUUUCUUUUGCUCUUCUUUUUUCAGGUUAGGUGGAAGCUUAGAUUUCUGAUUUGGCCCUUUUCCUGUCUUUUAGUAUAAGCAUUUAAUACUGUGAGUUUCCCUCUCGGUAUUGCUUUAGUUGUGCCUCAAAAAAAUUCGUUAUGUUUUACUUUUCAUUAAGUUCAAAAUAUUUUUAAAAUUUCCCUUGAGACUUCCUCUUUGACCCAUGGAUCAUUUAGAAGUGUUAUUUCCCAAGUGUUUUGUGAUAUUCCUGUCUGCUAAUCUGAUUCCACUGUUGUUGAAAAAAAUCACACAUUCCAUGAUUUUAAAUUUUUUGAGGUCUUAUGGUCCAGAGCAUAUGGUCUAUCCUCGUAUAUAUUUAAUGGAUACUUGAAAAGGAUGUGUAUUCUGCUGCUGUUGGGUGAAGCACUUUAGCAAUGUUCAUUAGAUCUGUUGGUUGAUGGUGUUGCUGAGUUCUACCUCUUUGCUAUUUCUGUCUAGUUGUUCUACCUAUCAGUAAGAGAGGGAGGCGUGCUGAAGUCUGCAACUGUAAUUGUAGAUUUGUCUUUUUCCUUUUAGUUAUGACAGUUUUUCCUUCAUGUAUUUUGGCAGCUGUGUUAUUUUCUGCAUACACAUUUAGGAUUGUUGUCUUCUCGGUUGUUUGACACUUUUAUUACAAUGUAACAGCCCUCUCUGUCUGUGGUAAUUUUCUUUGCUCUAAAGUCUUCUUUAUCUGACACUAAUAUGGCCAUUCCUGAUUUAUUUUGGCUUAUUGUGUUUGGGGUUUGCUCAGCUACUCAGAUCUGUAGGUUUAUGCCUUUUGCUAAAUUUGGAACAUUUUCAUCCAUUAUUUCUUUGUGCCUGCCUUCUUUUUCCUUAUUAAUCUCCUUUCAGGACUUUAAUGACACAAGUGUUACACCUUUGCUCUCCUUCCAGUAUUCCAAUGACACAGUGCUAAACCUUUUGUUAUAGUCCCAUAAGUCCUUGAGGAUAUAUAUUUUUUUCAGUCUAUCUUCUCUCUGCUGUUUAGACUGGGUAAUAUCUAUCAUUCUAUCUUCAAGUUCACAGAUUCGACCUACUGUCUCUUUCAUUCAGCUGUUCAGCCUAUCCACUGGGUUUUUAAUUUUGCUUAUUGCAGUUUUCAGUUCCAAAUUUUCAUUUCUUUGUAUCUCUAACUGAUUCCCUAAAAUUUUCAUUGUUUUCAGUGUGCUUAGGACUGCUCACUGAAGUGUUUCUAUGAUGGCUGCUUUAAAAUAUUUAUCAAAUAAUUCUAACAUCUUUGUCAUUUCAGUGUUUAUGUCUACUGGUUUUCUUUUUUAACUCAAACUGAGAUUUGUGAUUUUUUAAUUGAAACCUGGACAUUUGGGGUGUUAUGAGAUUCUGGACCAUAUUUAAACCUUCUAGUUUAAAUGCCUCCUUUGACACUGUACCAUCUGGGGAAAGGGCUCUGCCAUAUUAGUGCCAGAUGGCAUUAGAAGUCCAGGUUUCCCACUUGGCCUAUGUGGACAUCUGAAUGGAGGAAGCUCCUUGUUAGUGCUGCGCAGGGAAAGGAAUUCUGGGUAUUCAGUAGGCCUCUGCUGAUAUAACCUUGGCUGUAAAGGGCAGGAGUAUCUCAGUACUACACCCCAACACUGACACAAGCAGGAGGGGCUCGCCUCUUUACCCCUGGGAGGUGGUGAAGGAACAGAGAAUCUAGGCUCCCCACUCAGCACUGGCAGGCACAAGUUGAUGUAAGGCCUUUUCUUUCUGUGGUGUUUGGUUAGAGCACAGCAGUUAUGGUCUAAAAGUUUUCUGGCUUGCUAGGCUGUCUUUUUCCUCGUCCUUCAGUUAAAGAGAACAGGGUUUUUCAGUCUGUACCCAUUGCUGUUUCCAGGCUGCCAGCUUCUUCAGUUCCAAGCCUGGGAUAUAUUAGGCAAAAAGAAAACCCAUGGAACUCACCACCGUGUUAUUCCUUGGGUGCUGAGGUCCCUAGUGUGUAUGCCUUCUCUCCACCUUUCAGUCUUCUUAUGUUUAUUUUACAUAUAAUGCUCAAGGUUUUCAGUUGUUUUAGUGGGAGGAAUAGGGCAAUGUACAUCUACUCCAUCUUCCUGAAAGCAGAAGUCCCCACUUUUUAAACUUGUUCCCACUAUGUCCAACCAUACACAUUCCUGGAAAAAUGAGGGUAGAGUCUGUGGAAGAGAUUUUUCUUUAACUGAUGCUUACAUAUUUGGACAAAUUUGGACCACUGCUUCACCCAAAUGAGUUCUGUGGCUGAGUCACCCAUGUAAGAAUGUCCAAACCACCUGUUAUGUCAGGGUAAGACUUAUAAUAUAAACUUGUGUAAAUAGUUGAAAUGCUUUUGAUUUCACACUUACUAAUUUCACAAUUUUCCAUUCAAAACUUUAAAACAAUCAUUAAACUAUGUUUACUUAGGAAACAAGUCUUUUAUAUAAUCUUAUUUCUCCAAAGGCACUGUAUGAAAUUAUGCAGCUAAACCCUGAUCAAACUUUGAACACGUUUUUGUCAUAAUAAACAGGUAUUUAAAUGUACGUAAUGAACAAUAGAAUAAAAGUAUCCUAAAAGAAAAUGGCCUAGAACAGUGUCUGCCAUAGAGUAGGCCCUAAAUAAAUGUUGUAUGACAAAAUACACCAAUAAAAAGACAGUGUCUAAAAUUUUACUGUUAAAUAAAAAAGCACUUCCUUAGAUAAUGUCAAACAUGAGGCUACAUUGUUUUUCUUUAAUUUAUAAAUUAUGCUUUCAUAAUUAACAAACAAAAAGUUAAUAUUUCUAAUUUCUAUGUAUUACUAGAAUAUACUUAGAACUAUCUCCUUAUUUAAUACAUUCUCACAUGGGGUUGGCAAUAAGCAUAGUCAAAGUUACUUUGAUCUAGUCAGUGAACAUAGAAGGUUCUAACUAUCUAAUAAGUCAUUAAGAGCAAAAUUAUUUAAAGAUUACUACAAGUAAUUCUUCAGCUGAUAUUAAUUUUUCAGGAUUAAUAAAAAAUAUGUAAAACAACAGGAAAUUAUAACACAUAUUUUAGUAUUCUCACUCCCUCUCAACAUCCCAAGGACACAAAUAUAAACAAAGUAGUGACAUUCUUAAAUCACCUUAAUCUAAUGUAGAGCUUCCCAUAUUAUGUUCCUCAGAAUCCUAAUGUCUCUUGAGAUAUUAACAGAUGUCCCACAGAGAAAGAAAAUGCUAGGUUAAACACAUUUAAACAAACUUCUCAACUACAGGAAUCACUGGGGCAUUUAAAAUAUAAUAUGCACUGUGAUAUUUCCAAAGAGGAUUAUUGUUAUAGUUUCCCAAAUCUAUUUAAUCAAGGACACCUUCCCCAAAAUAUCUACUAAAUCCUUUUACAGACUAGUAUUGAACAGAACUCAAUCUGAGAUAUACAGAAUGGCAGAAGAGCCUUUCAAUAUUGAUUCCGUACUUGGAUGAGUAAAAUGAAGAUCAGAAAUCUAACAAAUAUCAGUUACAAUAACUAAAAAUCUAUUGAAAAAAGAAAUUAUUAUAAUAAAAGGCUUUUUUUGACCUCCCUACUUUACGGGAGCUUAUUUUUUAAACUGCAGAAGUCUCCCAGCACUCAUUAUAAAAAUAACCUGUUAUCAUACUAAAAAAAAACCCAUAAAAAUUGAUUGUGGAUAUUAUAAUAAGUUAGAUGAGUGCUACUUUCAGUCCUAUUUUAAUCCUACCUAUUAUUUGCAAGUUAAUUUAUUUGACCAUAAAGAUAAAACAACUCCAGAAAUUGGACAUUUUAGAUGAAGGUUUAAAAAAGAAAAACCCUGGCUGGGCGUGGUAGCUCAUGCCUGAAAUCCCAGCACUUUGAGAGGCUGAGACAGGAGGAUUGCUAGAGGCCAGGAGUUUGAGACCAGCCUGGUCAACACAGCGAGACCCCAUCUCUAAAAAAAGAAAUAAAUAUUUAAUAAAUUUUUUAAAAGAGAGAGAGAAAAAAAAGAAAAACCCUUCAAUUUUUAAAAGACCUCACUCUUAAUUAUCUGAAAUUAAACCCAUAAUAUUGUGGCACACUAAACAAAACAUACAAUAAACAGAAUAUAUAACCAUCAGUGUGUACAUGUGCGUGCACAUGCACGUGCUAGUGUAUAUGUCUACAUCUAUAUCUUUUUUUGUUUUUUUUGAGACAGAGUCAUGCUCAGUUGCCCAGGCUGGAGUGCAGUGGUGCGAUCUCAGCUCAUUGCAGCCUCUGCCUCCUGGGUUCAAGCAAUUCUCCUGCCUCUGCCUCCCGAGUAGCUGGGAAUACAGGCAUGCACCACAAUGCCCAGCUAAUUUUUAGUAGAGACGAGGUUUCAUCAUGUUUGUCAGACUGGUCUCGAACUCCUGUCCUCAAGUGAUCUGCCCGCCUCGGCUUUCUAAAGUGCUGGGAUUACAGGUGUGAGCCACUAUGCCCAGCCUACGUCUAUAUCUAAUAUAUUAAAUAAGACAAAAAUACCAGUCCACUAAAAAAGGUAGAAUAAUAAUUUUAAGAGAGUCCAGUUAAAAUUCAGGCCAAUUUUAUAUAAUCUCAAUGAGUGAUUUUAUGGUACCUCUUUUAACCAGAUUUUUGCAAUCCAUAAUUCCAAUUCUUUUUAAAGCAUGUCAAAUUCUUUUUGAAACAUACACAGUUAACAAAAUACAAAAUGGCAAGCAGUGACAUAUAACCAAUUUUAGAUGCUGUAUGAUGAUAUUUGUGGACUAAGAAGAGUUAGGUUAUAGAUUUAAAUUCAGAAAAUAAUGAGAAAUCACUUACCUCUAACUAAAGUUCUCCGAAGGUAGUAUCCUCCUUAGAACCCCUAUCUUGGGUAGUUUCACCUGCUGUAAUUUCCCUCAAGAGAUUCCAGCAAAGUCUAGAAAGUUUUAAGUUCUCUUCCGCAAGCCCUAUUAGCGCAUGUGUGUUAUAAACCUGCUCACAUACUGCUUCAUAGCUGCAACUUCCAAUUCCCACUGAACCACCACCACUACUACCACCCAUGUAUCAUCAGUGGAGGAUACUACCUUUGGAGAAUUCCAUUUAGAAAUGUGAUAUUGUUCACAUCCCCAGAAGUAUCCUCCAAAUCACUCCAUUACUUUGUCUAUUAAUAUACUUAAGAGAGUGGUGGCAAAUCAGCAGGUGAAUAAAUAAUGACAUAAAGAUUUAGCUGAGCAAUUAUAUUUGCUGAAUACUCAAAUAUAAGAUUUAAUACAGCAAAAUUUAGCUUCCUCAAUAUUCAAUUAAUAUGUUAAAAACUAAAUUAAAUGUAUAUAUGGAAAAAUUUUCAUAAAAAUACUUUAAUAAAUAAGGUAUAAAAAAUAGUCCAUAUCACUUGGGACUACCAAAUAUUUCCCUAGUAUAUUUUGUCAGAGAAAUGCGAGUAUUUAAAAAUUAGUUAGGAAAUCAGUCAUUGAAAGACAAAUGUUAGUUUUUCAAUGAUUUUUUCAGUAUGUCAUUUCUACUUUGAACUGCCAAUUAAAGCAAAAUAAGGUUAAAAAAUAAAAACCAAAACUAGCCAUCCAAACCAAAGCUCAUUUAAUACACCUAGAUGGCCAUUUAAAAAAGUAGUACUAAACAUCUAAAAAACUUUUCAAAUAUACUCAGGAAGCCGACUAUGAAAAACAGUAGCAGAAAGGAGACUUGAUCUUACGCUACCCAGAAAAGGUCUUUUACUUAGAUGCUUGCUUUGUAUCUCCAUUGACUGAUUCCAUAAUUUAUUGCUGGUUAUUUCCUAAUAGCCAUAUAAAGGUAGGAGAAAAAAUCAAAAGGAAUCAAUCAUCCUAGAGGCCAGAGGACUAAACCAUACUUGUAGCACUAUCUUAGAAGUAUAGAAAAGCUUUUAAAAAACUGAUUUUUAGCUACAAGCCACCAUCAGUUUAAUAACAACAUAAAUAAGACCAAAACAUAAAACAUAAUGAAAUUCUAUUGUUUAAAGAUAUCUUAUUUAGCUUUGAAAGCUUCCCCUGGCACAUGGUAGGUUCAAAUAAAUGUUUCUGAGCACUUUAAUUUUAAAUAUCAACUUAAGUCUUUCCAUUAUUUUCCUGUCGUAUAAGUAAAUACACAUAUGUAUAGAUAAAAUACAAUUAAAAAAUUAUAAAAAAGCAAUUAAGAAAUGGAUGACAUAUGGAAUGAGAAAAUCUUAGCUAAUCCUCCAAUCAGAUACUCAGUAUAUGAAUAAUUAAGGUGAUUACAGUUUUGAUUCUUUGAAUUAUCUGUGCUACUACAAUGUAUAUUUUUUAAACUAAAUAUUUAAAGUAGGGAUGCUUCUUUUAAAAAUAUGGACUGUUUGUCAUAAAAACCAGAGGUGCUUUUACCAAUUUUAAAAGUGUAUGGAUCAAAACAAUCCCCCCAAAACAAAGUACUUUCCAGUGCAAAAAGUGGUCACAAUAACAGCAUUUAUAAAAUAGACUGUUUAGAGGUAAAAAAAAAAAAAGAUAAAAGUGAAAUCAUCUAAUCACCUAUCCAAAAGAAUAAAACACUGAACCAUGAGGCAGUACAUUUGCAUUCACUUUCUCUCUUAUAAUACAUGCACUAUUAGGACUCACUGAAGGGUCAAAAAUCUUCUAGAUCUUGCUAAUUUAAAUGCAGGAAUGACUAACAACCCAAGAAGGUGUAUCUAGGAUGAUACUUACCUUACAAGAGAUUAUACCACUGUGCUAUUAUGUAUUCUGUGUAAGGAUACACAAGCAGUCAGGUGAAAGGUACACACCACACUAGCAAAUGCUUGGCUGG
rnacentral:lncRNA from 1 species